GAAGGUUGCCCGAUCUGCCAAGGUGCCACUGAGCAAAGCACCGUCCCCACACACUGGUCCCCGGGUGCCUGUCAUGGUGCCCACUGCUAGCUCAGGGUGAUGGUUAAAAGCAGAGGAGCAAUGACGCUUUGUAAUGAGCAACAGUUAAAGGAUGUUAACGACAUAUAAACGAUAUAUUUAAUAUAUAUGAAAUAAAAUAACAGUGUCAUACUCUGUUGCAUUUACAUUUUUUCUGUUGAACGAUUAGUUAUGAAGAUCGACAUUAGUUCACCGUAUGCUCCGUUUUACAGCGCAAUAUUGGUGUGACAUGCUGUUUCGCGUGGACGUGUUUGACGAAUCUGCUGAAGUCGAAUCAGCAGGAAAAGAAGGUAAACAGUCGCCGUCGCCCCGGAACAAAAGACGGACAACUUUCUUAACCAACUUUCAAAGAAAUGACUUCGGACUGGAAACACGAAUCAGCGCUGAAAGACGUUACUUUACUGAAUUCCAUGAAUGUGUUCACCAUGGAGGAACAGAUAUUGGUUUUUAAGGCAGAAGUUGCUUCCAAGACGAGAGCUCUGCUAAAAGCUGAAAAGCAGCAGAAGAAAAGUGAGCAAGAAGCACUUCACAGCAGUGAGCAGUUGAAGGAAAUAAAAGAAGAGUUGUUGGUGGUGAAAGCUGAACUCUUUGAAAGAACUUGUCAGGUUAAAUGUGCUGAGGAGGAGAAAAAGCAGGCCCUGUCUAGUGCUAAGAAACUGACAAUGACUUUCAUGGAAUACAGAAGAGCCAUUACUGAGAAACUACAAAAGCUCAUGGAGAGUGAAUGCAAACUAAAGGAGAAUCUCAUAGCGUGUCAUAAGGAAAAAAGAAACUUACAAAAAACAUGUUUACAAUUAGAGAAAGAGAAAGAAGACAUGUUCCAGGACAUGAAUCAGAUGAAAGAACUGUGUGGUGGUGCUGAGAUCAUCAAUGUGAAGUCAAAACAGCUACAGGAACGAUUACAGAAGGCUGAAGGAGAGGUGCAUAGACUGCAGGAGGAGUUGUUUCACCAACAGAAGCACAUUCAGCAAUUCAGUAGCCUUCAUCACCAACAGGGGAAAAUGAAGAACUCGCAUACUGCCCUCCUGGACAAACAGAUGGGGGAUAGAAGAGCUUUAAGAAGGAUUAGCCAGCUAGAGAAAGAACUUCUGGAGAGGUCUAACAGUCUACAGCACUGUCAUGCUGUGUUGCACAAAAGACAGCAGGAAUUUCAGAGAGAUCUGGAGAAAGUCAAGAAGGCACACACUGAAAAGUGUAAAGAAAUCGAGAAUGAGAUGGUAUGGCACUGGUCCUCAAUGCAGGAAGUGAAGCAAAAGAGAGAAAUAUCAGAAGCAGGUGUGGCCAUACAGCAGACAGCACAUCUUACAGACCUGAUCAGUGAAAGCCACAGAGAAUUGGAGCAGCGAAACAAUGAACUUUACACCAUGGCUGCUGCAUUGAAGGAAUGUGAAAGGGAGCUUCAGCAAAGAGCACAGCUGAUUCAUCAGCUAGCUCUGGCCCUUAAGGAACAUAAACAGGACUUGGAGGAAAAAGCUCUUGGUCUGCAGAAUGCUCUGGAACAGACAGAACGUAAACUGAAUGAGAAAGAAAAGCAGGUUGCAUUGCUGAUGGAAAAACUGGUCCAAGCUCAAAUUCACGAGAAAUUUCACAGAGAAGAGACACAAGACCAGUCUGUGCAACCAUCAGGAUCACCAAACCAAACAGUUGCAAAUCAGAUGGAAGGUGUAUGA
rnacentral:lncRNA from 1 species